ensembl:lncRNA
UAAAAAUAACCGACUUCCUGUUGGGUUUCGGAUUUUGCUCCAAGAGUCUUUUUUGUAGGUAUUGGGGAGUUACAUGUGUGUACCGAUUUUCAUACAUGUACGUGAAACGUAGCUCGAGGCGCACACCGUUGAACGUGUAUAGGUGGCGCUGUCGAGCCAUUUUGCCACACCCACUUCUGAAACCCAUAUCAGACGUAAAUUUUCGCCAGUUCUGAGGUGUGUGCAAAGUUUCAUGACUUUUCGAGCAUGUUUAGGCCCUCAAAAAUGCGAUUCAUUUUGGAGAAGAAGAAUAAUAAUAAUAA